GUAAGUACCACUGAAAGAUCGUAAAGACCAUCCUUAAGUAUUUAAGAAAUACUAAGGAUCAGUGACUUAUCUAUGGAGAAUCCAACUUAAAACUUAUGGAGUUUACAGACUUUAAUUUUCAGUCGGAUCAUGAUGACAGUAACAGCAUGUUGUUGGAAAUAGUGUCCCAAAGCCAAUCGUCAGCCUGUUGACGGUUGUGCUUCUUUUUGUAUUAGUACAUGAAUU
rnacentral:lncRNA from 1 species